GACGAACGCUGGCGGCGUGCCUAAUACAUGCAAGUUGAGCGCUGAAGGUUGGUACUUGUACCAACUGGAUGAGCAGCGAACGGGUGAGAAACGCGUGGGGAAUCUGCCUUUGAGCGGGGGACAACAUUUGGAAACGAAUGCUAAUACCGCAUAAAAACUUUAAACACAAGUUUUAAGUUUGAAAGAUGCAAUUGCAUCACUCAAAGAUGAUCCCGCGUUGUAUUAGCUAGUUGGUGAGGUAAAGGCUCACCAAGGCGAUGAUACAUAGCCGACCUGAGAGGGUGAUCGGCCACAUUGGGACUGAGACACGGCCCAAACUCCUACGGGAGGCAGCAGUAGGGAAUCUUCGGCAAUGGACGAAGGUCUGACCGAGCAACGCCGCGUGAGUGAAGAAGGUUUUCGGAUCGUAAAACUCUGUUGGUAGAGAAGAACGUUGGUGAGAGUGGAAAGCUCAUCAAGUGACGGUAACUACCCAGAAAGGGACGGCUAACUACGUG
rnacentral:rRNA from 1 species